rnacentral:tRNA from 1 species
ACUAAAAUAGUUUAAAUUAAAAUAAAGAAUUGUGGGUUCUUGGAACCUUCAACAGGUUUUAGUU